CGUAGGUGGCAAGCGUUGUCCGGAUUUAUUGGGUUUAAAGGGUGCGUAGGCGGCCCUGUAAGUCAGUGCUGAAAUAUCCCGGCUUAACCGGGAGGGUGGCAUUGAUACUGCAGGGCUUGAGUAAAGUUGAGGUUGGCGGAAUUGACGGUGUAGCGGUGAAAUGCUUAGAUAUCGUCAAGAACACCGAUAGUGUAGACAGCUAACUAAGCUUUAACUGACGCUGAGGCACGAAAGUGUGGGGAUCAAACAGGAUUAGAUACCCUGGUAGUCCACACUGUAAACGUUGAUGACUCGCUGUCGGCGAUAUACAGUCAGCGGCUUAGAGAAAUCGUUAAGUCAUCCACCUGGGGAGUACGCCGGCAACGGUG
rnacentral:rRNA from 1 species